UCUUUUAAUUUGAGGCUUGUAUAAAUGGUUAGACAAAAUAUUUUCUGUUUCAUAAAAUUUUAAUUGAAUUUUAUAUUUUAGUAAAAAAGCUAAAAUAAAAUUAUAGGACGAGAAGACCCUAUAGAAUUUUAUAAUUAUUUAUAAAAAAUUAAUUUAGAUAUUUUAUAAUUUUAUAUAGAUAAUUAUUUUAUUGGGGUGAUAAUAAAAUUUUAUAAACUUUUAUAAAUAUUUAACAUUAUAUAAGUGAUUAAUUGAUCCAUUUUUAAUGAUUAAUAAAUUAAGUUACCUUAGGGAUAACAGCGUAAUAUUUUUUAAAAGUUCAUAUUAAUAAAAAAGAUUGC
rnacentral:rRNA from 1 species